rnacentral:rRNA from 1 species
UACAGAGGGUGCGAGCGUUAAUCGGAAUUACUGGGCGUAAAGCGUGCGUAGACGGUUUCGUAAGUCGGGUGUGAAAGCCCCGGGCUCAACCUGGGAAUUGCAUUCGAGACUGCGUAGCUAGGGUGCGGAAGAGGGAAGCGGAAUUUCCGGUGUAGCGGUGAAAUGCGUAGAUAUCGGAAGGAACAUCAGUGGCGAAAGCGGCUUCCUGGUCCAGCACCGACGUUCAGGCACGAAAGCGUGGGGAGCAAAC